rnacentral:lncRNA from 1 species
GCGCCACCGGCUCAGCCUCGCGGCGGGGGAAACCCGAGCUCCCAACAAAACGGUUCCAUCUUUGGCUAGGCCUUUGGCACCAAAGAAGGCCCAGAGAGGUUUAACAACUUCCUCAGAAUCACACAGCUUCCAAAUGGUUGGGUUGGGUUUACAUUUAGGCGGUCUUGCUCCAGAGCCAGUGCUCCUAACCUUUGCAAGCCACGAACCUCAAGAAAGUGGAGAAGGAAACGCUGGGAAAUCUGGAAGUCAGACAUGAGAGCUAAUGCUGGCAGCUGUUGGGAUGUCCUCUUCCAGGAAUGGUGAUGAGUUUCCCUGGAUCCAGCCCUGGCUUGGCUGAGAUGAUGAAGGUUUAAGAAGCAGCAUCAUCAGCGAACUGUGUUUUGAAGAUUUGAGGGAAGGGCUGACCUCAGGAUUUUAUACUAGGUAUUUGAUGCAAUGCAGACUGGAAUCCUCCCCACAAGGAUGCCCUGGCCUGAGUGGCACAGAGAUCAAUGCAGCAGUCAUUUCCUGGGCGGGGAAAGCCCAUCCACAGUGGCCCUGGAAUGAUGCUGGUCUUACCUUCUAUUCCUAGGAAGGCCCUAUCUCAAGUGGCUCUGGUCCAUGCAAACAGAUGGAAACGGGUGUGGGGAAGCACAGGCCUCCUACUCAUGUUAAGAGAGCUGCUCAGAGGCAGGAAUCCAGAACCAGGAAUGUCCCCAGUGGCUGCCCAAGGUACAAGUGGCAGGCAGCGGGGAGAAUGGCAUGUGAAGUCAUUUGUAACCUGGCCCCAGCUUGGUUUCCAAGUCUCAGAGGAGAUUAUGGAUAUGGUAGUGCCUGGCUCAGUGCUUAAAAUCCAUUCUCCUGCUAUUUCCCUCACCUACACUCAGCCCCACAAGCCGAGAUGUUUGCUGGACAUUUCAGGCACUGCCACCCAGUUCUGUCUACCUUACCUGCUAACACCUGUUGACCAUCCUUCAUGUGAAGGCUUCCCCAAAUACUUCCCAAUCAAAACACUAAAAGGCAGACCUGAAAUUAAUAAAAA